CUUGGCAUUCAUCAAACAAGCUCGUGCCAAACAAAUCUUCCAUCCUAGGAAAUUGCUUUGACGUAAAGCAAGUCAUCCGAAUGUGUACUUGUAAACGCUCUGUUUACUUAAUUGAAGCAAAUGCAUUGAAGAGGUGCAGAAAGAUGAGAAUAUAAACAUGGACAAACACGUUUAUAGGCUCCAGAAAAAAAUAGUCUAGCGUUUCCUUAAAUCACUUUUGCCACGUUGCGUGUUCAGAGCAAAUUCGAAUGGAAAAUUGUUCUCGUUUGCUAGCUCACGUAUCAAAGAGAGAAGGGUUCUCUCGCCUUCGAUAGCUCAGUUGGCAGAGCGGAGGACUGUAGGUGCUCAUAUCGGUCAUCCUUAGGUCGCUGGUUCGACUCCGGCUCGAAGGAGGGCUGUCUCCGUGCGAGUUGGCUUCUUUUUUUUUCAAAAUGUUAAUUUGGCCAGUGGUGAGUAAAAAGCUCUUCCCUGACCGGGAAUCGAACCCGGGCCGCGGCGGUGAGAGCGCCGAAU
ensembl:lncRNA